rnacentral:rRNA from 1 species
GACGAACGCUGGCGGCGUGCUUAACACAUGCAAGUCGAACGGAAAGGCCCUGCUUUUGUGGGGUGCUCGAGUGGCGAACGGGUGAGUAACACGUGAGUAACCUGCCCUUGACUUUGGGAUAACUUCAGGAAACUGGGGCUAAUACCGGAUAGGAGCUCCUGCUGCAUGGUGGGGGUUGGAAAGUUUCGGCGGUUGGGGAUGGACUCGCGGCUUAUCAGCUUGUUGGUGGGGUAGUGGCUUACCAAGGCUUUGACGGGUAGCCGGCCUGAGAGGGUGACCGGCCACAUUGGGACUGAGAUACGGCCCAGACUCCUACGGGAGGCAGCAGUGGGGAAUAUUGCACAAUGGGCGGAAGCCUGAUGCAGCAACGCCGCGUGCGGGAUGACGGCCUUCGGGUUGUAAACCGCUUUCGCCUGUGACGAAGCGUGAGUGGCGGUAAUGGGUAAAGAAGCACCGGCUAACUACG